UUAUGGCCAUAUCAUGUUGAAAUACCAGUUCUUGUAUGAUCACUGAAGUUAAGUAAUGUCAAGCCUGGUCAGUAUCUAGAUGAGUGACCAUGUGGGAAUACCAGGUGCUGUAAG
rnacentral:rRNA from 1 species